CCAGAGUGCAGUUUCUACUGAGUACUUUCUGCUCUCACACAGUGUAAGAUGAGAACUUGUAAUUGGAAACUCUCAUUUCCUAGGAGUGUCACUGUCAACUGAAAGGAUUUUCAUUAUCAUAACAGCCUGUGGCAGGCAGCCUGGAGAAGCAGUGCUUUCAGGACUUGGGGAUGGAGACUAAGAAAAUAAAGCAGGGGCCUUGUCGAGAUAUUGUAAGAGGGAGGUCUUCCCCCACGAAGCCCCUGAAAGCAUAACUCUAUCCUCUAGAAAUUUAUGGUAUGGCAUCGUAUUGGGAGUCCUGAGCCGAAAAGCACUUUCUCACGGUGCAUUGAUGGAAGAGUUUCCAGCUGUCCAGAGAGCCGAGGCCAGCACAAGUCUCCAGAGGUUCACUUUGGAAACAGCUAUGAUGUGGGAAGAUAAAGGUCAGAGAUGAUAGCAAGAUCUUUGGCCUGAGCCCUAGGAGGAUGGAGCUGCCUCUGAGUGGAGGAGUAAGGUCAUUGGUGGAACAUGUUUGGAGGAGAAGGUCAAGAGUGAUGAGAAAAUACAAGAUGCCCAAAAAAGUAAUUGUCAAGAGUAAGGAAGUCCAAGAACAGAGCUGUGGGACACUUCAAGGUCAGGAGAGCUUCUGGCUGAUAGAUUACUAUGGCCAACAUGAGUGUUUCAGUCAAGCAAGGAGCAUCGUCUGCAUCCAGUGCCUGCUGGUAAGUCACAUAAAAUGACAAGAGAAUUAACUAUUGCAUUUGGCAUCAUGAGGAGUCCAUCUUGAUGACUGGGCUAGGUACAGUGGAGGGGAUUAGUGCGAGAUUGGAGAGAGUUUAGGAAAAAUGGGCACACGAAAGAGAAACAAAAGAAGCCUACUAGCUUAUAGGGA
rnacentral:lncRNA from 1 species